rnacentral:rRNA from 1 species
UACGAAGGGGGCUAGCGUUGCUCGGAAUCACUGGGCGUAAAGCGCACGUAGGCGGAUUGUUAAGUCAGGGGUGAAAUCCUGGAGCUCAACUCCAGAACUGCCUUUGAUACUGGCGAUCUCGAGUCCGGGAGAGGUGAGUGGAGCUGCGAGUGUAGAGGUGAAAUUCGUAGAUAUUCGCAAGAACACCAGUGGCGAAGGCGGCUCACUGGCCCGAUACUGACGCUGAGGCACGAAAGCGUGGGGAGCAAACAGG